UACGGAGGUGGCAAGCGUUGCUCGGAAUCACUGGGCGUAAAGCGCACGUAGGCGGCUUACUAAGUCAGGGGUGAAAUCCUGGAGCUCAACUCCAGAACUGCCUUUGAUACUGGUGAGCUUGAGUCCGGAAGAGGUGAGUGGAACUGCGAGUGUAGAGGUGAAAUUCGUAGAUAUUCGCAAGAACACCAGUGGCGAAGGCGGCUCACUGGUCCGGUACUGACGCUGAGGUGCGAAAGCGUGGGGAGCAAACAGG
rnacentral:rRNA from 1 species